CUAAUUGUUACAUUUCUUGUGGAAAAUAUAAUUAUAUGGCUGAAAUUAUAAAGUUAGUUUAUAAUAUAAUUAUUUUCCUUUUGCUAUUUAUUGAUGUAACAGACGUCGAAGGGGGAUUUGACCAUUUGUUCAAAAAAACUAGGAUUAAAUGUUUUAGCGAUUCAGAUUGUGUUAAAUUAUCAUGCCAACGUCCUUUCAUCCCGAUAUGUAUAAACAAAUAUUGUAAAUGUGUUUUAACGUCGAUUCAGUGGUAAGACUUAUUAUGUAUUGUUGUUUUGACUUUGUAAUAAGAUUAUGUUCAUACAUGAUCAUACAAAAUAGUACACAAAUGUCCUAUUAUAAUAAGAAUUUCAUUAUUAUGUAUUGUUGUUUUGACUUUGUACUAUAAAAAGUGAUGGUAAUUAAUGCCAUGAAAUAGGGCAAAUGUUAUUUAA